rnacentral:lncRNA from 1 species
UGAAGGUGGCUUGCUCAAUCGUGAAAGUUGUCAUUUGAGAGUAGACUGUCCAAAAGAGGAUACAUGUGGACCAGAUGGGAAGGAGCUUUAUUACCAUCUUCACCUCUUCAACUUGGUUCACUGUAGAAACUAUCCAAGGGUUGUCCUUGUUUCCACUGGCAGAAUAAUAGUCUUCUAGGAUUGCAGCCUUGUCGAGACACCUAAUCAAUCACAUGCACAAUGAAAUUGAGAUCUUAAUUCAAUUAAACAAAUCAAUGAGAAGUUGAUAUGUAUUAAAUUUUAGCCACUUGACAAGGACAUUAUUUUAUAUGAAUUGGGUUCUCCGGGACAUUAUGAAUGCAUGGUUCGAGAGAGUAUGGAUGAUGUUCUAUAGUACGGAUUCAAGUGGCUGGGCAUAUUAUGGUGGUGAAAAGGGUCAUAAUUGGCCAAAUUGGGUGACACACUGUCUGAAUUGUGUGACUUCGGAAAGAAUGAGAAUCAAUGGAAUUUUUAUUCCUUUCUUGACAGAAACAUGGAAGUUCUUGCUUUUUAUAGUUUUGUAAUUGCAAUUUCACAGGACAAAAUUUGAAUUUGGAGAAAUAGAGUAAAAGAAGACUCAGGUUUAUGUGAAGUCCCCGAUUGAAGCUAAUUUCUCACCAAAGAGUUGUUUAAAUCCAUGUUACUCUUUCUCACUAUGUUAGACAAUAUGAAAUGGGUUUAUGAACUUGGGAUAUUCAUACAGAACUGUAAGAAGUCAUGGUUACCUGAAUCUUUGAGUGUGAGAGACCUUGGCAUUGUGGUACUCGUUCAACAAACUGGGAUGAGAAGGAUAAGGGAGGUUCCUCUUCCUCCAAGCCAAGAAUAUGACUCUCCAUAUGACAGUUAAAGGGCUACCUCGAGGCAUCUUGAAU